AUUGAACGCUGGCGGCAGGCUUAACACAUGCAAGUCGAGCGGGGGAAGGUAGCUUGCUACUGGACCUAGCGGCGGACGGGUGAGUAAUGCUUAGGAAUCUGCCUAUUAGUGGGGGACAACAUCUCGAAAGGAAUGCUAAUACCGCAUACGUCCUACGGGAGAAAGCAGGGGAUCUUCGGACCUUGCGCUAAUAGAUGAGCCUAAGUCGGAUUAGCUAGUUGGUGGGGUAAAGGCCUACCAAGGCGACGAUCUGUAGCGGGUCUGAGAGGAUGAUGCGCCACACUGGGACUGAGACACGGCCCAGACUCCUACGGGGGGUAGCAGUGGGGAAUAUUGGACAAUGGGCGCAAGCCUGAUCCAGCCAUGCCGCGUGUGUGAAGAAGGCCUUAUGGUUGUAAAGCACUUUAAGCGAGGAGGAGGCUACUUUAGUUAAUACCUAGAGAUAGUGGACGUUACUCGCAGAAUAAGCACCGGCUAACUCUGUGCCAGCCGCCGCGGUAA
rnacentral:rRNA from 1 species